rnacentral:tRNA from 1 species
AAAAUCCGUUGGGUUUAAUAGACCUUGAGGGUUCAAGUCCCUCUACCCCCA